ACCGAUCUUUUUUUUUUUCGCCACGGUGGGCAGUGGUUUAUUCGAAGCAACGCGAAGAACCUUACCAGGUCUUGACAUCCUCUGACAACCCUAGAGAUAGGGCUUCUCCUUCGGGAGCAGAGUGACAGGUGGUGCAUGGUUGUCGUCAGCUCGUGUCGUGAGAUGUUGGGUUAAGUCCCGCAACGAGCGCAACCCUUGAUCUUAGUUGCCAUCAUUAAGUUGGGCACUCUAAGGUGACUGCCGGUGACAAACCGGAGGAAGGUGGGGAUGACGUCAAAUCAUCAUGCCCCUUAUGACCUGGGCUACACACGUGCUACAAUGGACGGUACAAAGAGCUGCAAGACCGCGAGGUGGAGCUAAUCUCAUAAAACCGUUCUCAGUUCGGAUUGUAGGCUGCAACUCGCCUACAUGAAGCUGGAAUCGCUAGUAAUCGCGGAUCAGCAUGCCGCGGUGAAUACGUUCCCGGGCCUUGUACACACCGCCCCAUUAAAAA
rnacentral:rRNA from 1 species